rnacentral:rRNA from 1 species
UUGAACGCUGGCGGCACGCUUAACACAUGCAAGUCGAACGGCAGCAUUCUCCUGCUUGCAGGAGAGAUGGCGAGUGGCGGACGGGUGAGUAACGCGUAGGAAUCUACCCUAUGGUUCGGGACAACUUGAGGAAACUCGAGCUAAUACCGGAUGUGUCCUUUGGGAUAAAGAUUGCUUUCGGGCAGUCGCUAUAGGAUGAGCCUGCGUUAGAUUAGCUAGUUGGUGGGGUAAAGGCCUACCAAGGCGACGAUCUAUAGCUGUUCUGAGAGGAAGAUCAGCCACACUGGGACUGAGACACGGCCCAGACUCCUAUGGGAGGCAGCAGUGGGGAAUCUUGGACAAUGGGGGCAACCCUGAUCCAGCGAUGCCGCGUGUGUGAAGAAGGCCUUAGGGUUGUAAAGCACUUUAGUUGGGGAGGAGUAGUCAGAUCUGAAUAGGGUUUGAUGAGGACGUUACCCAAAGAAUAAGCACCGGCUAACUCUGUG